GCCAGCAGCCAUAUCACCCUGCAACUCACAUCUGGCAUCCCACUGAACUCAGCAGGUGUGAGCCUGGUCAGUACCUGGAUGGGGCACCUCCUGGGAAAAACUAAGCUUGCUGCUGGAA
rnacentral:rRNA from 1 species